rnacentral:lncRNA from 1 species
GCAGUGACAGUGAAUCAUGAACAUUUUCAGGGCUUACCAAGCUGUCAAGGCCCUGAGUCCAAAGCCAGACUGUCUUCUGAGAAUCACUCUAACCUAAUUUAUGAGAUGACAUCAACAAGUAUCAGCCAUGAUGGACAGAACUCUCACAACAAAGAAAGCACUAUCAUGUUAAAGGUGUAAUAAAUGCAAAGGAACCAGAAGUCAGAAGUUGUCAUUAAUGCCUAGCAUGAUGCUAGAGCUUCCAGCAGCCUGUUCAAGAAGUCUCUCUCCUCAAGCUGGUAUCUCACAGGGCCAGAUAUCUUGUAGAUGGUGGAAAUUUCAGCUACCUCCAAAAGCCUCAGCCAGAAGACUCUUUUUGGUUGGAACCACACCCCCUUGGAACCUAGACCCAGGCUCUCACGUGAUUCUGAGUCACAUGCUCCUGCCAAUCAUUUUGCAGUCUGUCUGCUUACUACACUUUGAACUCAAAUUCAUUGACUCAAGGACCAGAGGUCUAGCCAUUUCAAGGUCUCAAGAGCUGAACUGUUAAGUACUAUUGCCCAAGACCUGAGUGUGGAGAGAUCUAUCAUCAAAUUAGCUACAGAGCAAUGAUUUUUAAAAAUAUUUAUUUAUUUGUUAUUUGUUCAUUUAUUUAUUUGUUUACUUAUUUUUAAGCCACAACAACUCUAAAAGAUGAUCUAUUAAAUUAAAGCAAGGUCUAAUCUAUGUUGGGGAUGAGAGUAUUCACAGCAACAAAAUUUUGACUUCUUAAAUCUUCAAUGAACAGCUAUAGACGCUACGAUCCAAUAAGUCUGUACAAUUGCACAUGUGUGAUGAGACCUGAAAAGAGAACACAGUCUAGAGCAGGCAGGCUAGAGUUGGGCUGAAGCAUGUCUGUGAAGGAUAUAUAACCUAUAAUUCUGCCCUCUGGCCACUGAGCUUCUGUACAAAUCCAAUGAACAAAGAUGGCCACUGCUUAUCUCUCUUACCAGCAGCUACACAGCUGCAGAACAAAUUGCCUCCAGCUGCUAAGGCAUCCUUACCUCCCUGGGGUCUAGUCUUAGUCAGCUGCAAGAAUACUGACCUAGACAAAAGGGAAGGGCAGACCCUUCUUAGACCUUACCCAGAUGAGGAUGCUACUCGAUUCUG